UUUGCCAAUAGGGUUAAGGCAACAAAAAAGUGAACUCCAGAAACAUCAAGGAGAGUACUAGCAUAUCAAUGUCUUUAAUCCUCACAACAAACCUAUGAGGUGGUAUCAUCAGGAUAUGGGAAAUGGUGUCACAGAGACAAUCUUGCUCUAUUCCUUAUUUAUGUAUACCCCUACCUCCUGGAAAGGAAUCAGGACAGCUCACACUGGGAAAGGUUCAGAGCAUACAUACAAAAGCCUUGAGACUGGAAAGAUUAUUUGGAAGUUGGGCAGAAGAGCAGGUCACAAAUAGAC
rnacentral:lncRNA from 1 species